rnacentral:lncRNA from 1 species
UUGGUUGCUGAUAGCUUUACCAAUGGUAAACAAUGCAUAACACAGUAUUUUAGUCGUACAAACACCACAGCACUGUAUUCACAGUUAGACAUUGGUUAGUACAACAUAAACCACUUAUUUAAUUUCACAAAAACAAAACAGAAGUGCUAAUAAAUAAAACAUUAUGAGAGCUUUAACUGUUAAUCUUUAUUGUUGAUGCACUGCGCUGCCAUCGUGGAUUAUGACGUUGGCGUCAAGUUGGAUUAGUGAGGCAUGUCCGACUUUCUGAGUCGGAAAUCUGACUUCAGGGGGUGCUCUAGAUGAAUUUCCAACUUGGAGCUCGGAAAUUCCGACUUCUGAGAACAACUGGAAUGCAGCAUUAGUGAUGUGCAUUUUCAUUGCAUCAUCAAGGUAACAGUUUUUAAUUUAAUGUAGUAAUAACGAGCAAAGGCUGUGGUGACAAACAUCCUUUGCUUUUUGCCCCAGCAGUUCAACCCCAGGUACAGUUCCUGGUAAAUUUAAAGUUUGCAGUCAGGCAGGACCUUAAAUCCUCCCCACUGAUGACUAGUUUAAACAAUGAAAACCUAUAAUAGCUGAGCUAGUAUUUCAACAUCUGUAAGCCCAGUGCUGUAUCAUCUUUGGUCUCCAGAUCGGUAUAAGCAUCAGCGUCCACGUCUUUUUCAUAGAAAAUGUGAUUGGAUGAAAUGAAUCGUCGGAUGAUUCUCAGAGUGUUUUGUUCAGUCGGGCUGGCAAGCGUAAUCGCUGCCCAACUCAAAUCCAAUCCCAGCAUAUUUCUACCAGUCGGGUCACUUCAUUCAUCCCCGUGUAAUCAUGAUAAAUAGGACUGCCAGCAGGCACUUUUCGGAAACACAAACUCCUCUCAGUGUUGCUCCGCCCGUCCACAGCAUUUGUAAGUGUCUGGCUAUGGAUUGCUGAGAGGUCUCUUUUUCUCCUUUGCUGUUUUUUCUUGAAUGGAUGUGAAGUAGAUACAAGCAAGCCCGGCCAUUCAGACGGUGAUGUCAGAGACAGGGGGCCAACAUCCCUCCCACGCGGCGAUGUCGGAGGCCUCUGAUGGAUGCUGCGAGGUCUCAACGAUUGAAUGUAAUCUUCCUAAUGCCUGGGAAUGAACAACAGCAAACACUGGGGAGAUUAGACUUCCCUGUGUGCUCCUUGACAUUUUACAUGCCUUCUUAACAGAUGACCCGGCCUUAAAUGUUAGCAUGACCUUCUGCACAGCUAAUUAUUCCCCACUUUUAACAAAUAAACGGUGUUCGGGAGGGUUUCACCUGCCCGAAGAGACAUCUUUCACUCCGAAUGUUCCCGCUCCAUCCCAGCUGUUUAAACAAUAUCCUUCCUCUUCCUGGUGUAAAAACCACACAGAGACACCAGUUCCUCCACUUGAACUUGCAUUUAAUCAGGUGCAAGCCUCCUUUGUGGUGGCAAGCCACUGAUUAGAUUUGGAGAUUGAGAGCCAUUACAGCGGGCUGCAGUUAGAUAAUGACUUAAGUGCUGUUUCGCCUUCCUUUCUCUGUAGGAAGUGAUUUAUCUGGAUGGGCUCGGCCUUAACUGACUAGGAGGUGCCCAGCAGGGAGCAGUGUCACACAUAGAUCAUAUCACCCAGCUCUGACCCCAUCAACACUCACUGUCCUCCCUAUGCUGAUCUAUGGUUUCUGUGUAUGGAAAAGUGUAAGCGGUUAACAUCACAGAGAGACACGGCAGCUUCCUUCCACUCGCUCUUGUCCUGCACUCGCUGAUUUGAUGUCUGUCUCGUGAAGUUUCAGAGCUAAAGCCGAAGUUUGGCAGGAAAAUAAUGAACUAGUAUUUCAAAAAGCAAUCAUUAUCUGUCAUUGUUGUGAAGCUCAACUGGUGAGUCAUCCAUUUUUCUAAGACACGACACAGUAAGACUCCGGCUUGUGUGGUUGUAUAGAAAAAUGAAUAAAUGCGUUGAAAACAGGUGAGUUCAUUAAAGGGGUAUUUCAGUAUUUUUAAAGUGAGGUUGUUGGAGCUACAAGUGUAUUGGACAUAAUGGAUGCAGGUCCUUUAAUAUAUAAACUGUUGGGAGAACCGGCACACAAGCUAGGCUACAGUCGUCUGCAGACAAGGCCAAGCCUACUUUACUCAUUUUAAGAGAAUCUGACCCGAGCUUUUGCCCUGGAUUUAGUGUGCACUUUGAGAAUUUUUUAGCACUUAACUUUUUGUUUUUGCACCAUUUGCAUGCACUUCCAUGUAGUGCAAUCAUUUAAUCUGGUCUAUGAUAUAUCGUGAAUCUUGAAAUGUUUGCAUCUCAAUUUCGCUGCUUGUUUACCGUUGAAUGCCGAGUAUUUCCCAGCAGACGUUGUACGAUGUGUAGAGCUUAUUUAGCAGUUAACACAGUGUACCCUGAUUAAGGUAAAUAUAUUAUGUUACCUGCAGGUUGUGUUAUUAUGCAAUAAAGAAAAAAGAAAGAAAGCCGAACGCUUACUUCGAAGGUGAGACUCUGGUUUUCCGAUUCAGUUGAAAAAACUCUUUAACCAACAGUCCAUGAAAGAGCACAUCUUCUUGUGUGUAAAUCAAAUCGAUUUUCUAAUCCCAAAUUGCUGAAUUAUGAAGUGCAGAUAGCCUAGCAGUUUAGGCACACCCUAUGUACGCAGGCGGCCUGGGUUUGACUCCCCACUGUGGCGUCUUUUCUGCAUGUCAUUUCCUGCUCUUCCCUGUUUCCUGUUUCAUAAAGGUCAAAAAUAAAUUUAAAAAAAAAGCUAAACCUCAAAGUAGACUCAGCCUUAUCUGCAGAUAACUGUAGCCUAGCUUGUGUACAGUUUCCUAUGAGGUAGAUCUGACUGGCAUUUAUUAAAUUGCACUGCUGUGUCUGCUCUACUGUAGGGUGACCAUACGUCCUCUUUUACGCGGACAUGUCCUCUUUUUAGGGGGUUGUCCGGCCUUGUCAAGGGAAGUUUAUAAAAUCCUUCAAAUAUCCGCGGUUUUGUUUGGAAGUUUUGAGUUUGUUGCGUGUGGACUUACUGAAUUAGAGGCGCAUAAAAAACACUCGAUUUGACCCUAAAAAUGAACUACACUCGACUCCGUGACUCCGCCCCCUGGGAAGUCGUGUCCUCUUUUGGGGGAUUCAGAAUAUGGUCACCCAACUCUUCUGCGUCUGUAUCUUAGUAAAUGAUGAUUCUCAUUUGAUGAGAUCCCACUAGAUUCACAUAAAUGAUGAGGAUCUGACAGUAGCACAGACCAGACAAGAGAACUCUGGCUCUUUCAGGUCGUUUAAGAUAUUUUAGAAGUUUGGUCGAUUUUCCUGCACUCUCCAGAGUUUGUAAACAAAGUGAAACUUAGUCUGGUGUAACUUCAAGCUAGCAGCUAUAAAGUGUAAAACAGGUAUUUCUCAGUGUCGGGUUAUUAAAGUUAAUGUAUAGACAGGUUUGGACAAAGGUCUUACAGUUGAGGGAAUGAAUAGAAACAACAGAAUUUGAUCUUUUAGCUCCUUAAGUAACAUGAGCAUCGAUGCAGAAAUGACUGAUAUUAAUCAGUUUUAUAAUACAGACGUUAAUCGAACUGUAAUGUCUUCUUUGUAGUUUUUAAAGACUCUGAUUUGAGAUUUUGAUAGGAAUCAAAUUGAGAUAGUACAAUAUAAACAGCAAAGUGGAUGAAUUAAUAUUAUAUGAAUUUUACAUGAGCUUUUAUUGGAUCAGUGUAAAGGGUUUUAAUGAUGCAGUAAUUCAUCCGCUCUUAUGUAUGAUAAUCACAGCCUGACAGCAAGAAGCAUCUUUGACAUCAUUAAAAUCAGUCAUCGGAGUCCAUCAGCUGCUCAGUGACUUCCUGCUUUUCCCAGGACGUCCUUCAUCAAGAGUUGAAGAAUCGGCGAGAAACUGUUUCCAUUUAGCCGUGGGCGUCACUUAAAGUAUUGAAAACAGAGGUUGUAAAUUGUUCUCCUGUCUCCAAAGAAUCGAAAAAAUGCUCUCAUUAGUCUGUUUCCUUAACAAGUCACUGAAAGAACAAAUGUCCACUAAAAGAGCCGAUAUCCAAUAUCAAACUUCGCUCUAAUUGUUCAGUGUAGGUGGAGAGAGCAGCGAGCAGACGUCUCAGACACACCGUGAGCCGAGCGCCUGGUACAUUAGGGAUUUUUUCAGACUUUCAGUGUUUAUUUGGCUGCCUCGACAUCUAUGUAAUCCGUUUAAGUCCGUAUUAAAAUUGAGAAGCAUUUCCUAACAGUGCCCUGCUUUGAGAAUAAAAUAAAUGCAAUAAAAAGGCACUUCAUGAUCUUGACUUUAAGAGUUAUUAUUCAUGUAAAUGCUGCGCUGCUGCACCAGCGAGGUCGAAAGCGAUGACUUAAAGGUGGAGACAGUAUUAAGGGCUUAUUCUGUUCAACACAAACCUCUUUGCUUUCUUUUUCCCCCAGGGUAACCGAGUUAGACGUAAAAAAAAAUAACGCAGGACUAUAAGAAGAUGUCCAAAACAGUGCAGUCAUUCAGAGAUUCCUCUAAGAAGUCCAGAGAUUCCUGGAUAAUGCAACAGCACUUUUCAGGAGUUCAGGAGCUGGAAGUCUAACCCCCAAUUUCCGCCGCAUCCGGAACAGCUACGAAAAGGCCGUAUCUGCUGGUCGAAACCAUUCAAGUUAAUGCGUCAAUUUCCACC